rnacentral:rRNA from 1 species
ACGGCGUAGUAAUGCAUCGGAACGUACCCUCUGGUCGGGGAUAGCUACGGGAAACUGUAGGUAAUACCCGAUGAUCUCUGCGGAGCAAAGGUGAGAUUCCGCCGGAGGAGCGGCUGAUGUGAUAUUAGCUAGUUGGUGGGGUAAUGGCCUACCAAGGCGAUGAUGUCUAGGGGGUGUGAGAGCAUGGCCCCCACGACCGGAACUGAGAUACUGUCCGGACACCUACGGGUGGCUGCAGUCGAGAAUCUUCCGCAAUGGACGAAAGUCUGACGGAGCGACGCCGCGUGCGGGAUGAAGGCCCUUGGGUUGUAAACCGCUGUCAGAGGGGAUGAAAUCUUCGGAGGUACUCCUCCGACGUUGACAGAGCCUCAAAGGAAGCACGGGCUAAGUACGUGCCAGCAGCCGCGGUAACACGUACUGUGCGAACGUUAUUCGGAAUCACUGGGCUUAAAGGGUGCGUAGGCGGCGAAUCAAGUCAGGUGUGAAAGGCCUGAGCUCAACUGAGGCAUUGCGCUUGAAACUGAUUUGCUUGAGUAUCCCAGGGGUGUGCGGAACUGCCAGUGGAGCGGUGAAAUGUGUUGA